UAGGGAAUCUUCCGCAAUGGGCGAAAGCCUGACGGAGCAACGCCGCGUGAGUGAUGAAGGUCUUCGGAUCGUAAAACUCUGUUAUUAGGGAAGAACAAAUGUGUAAGUAACUAUGCACAUCUUGACGGUACCUAAUCAGAAAGCCACGGCUAACUACGUGCCAGCAGCCGCGGUAAUACGUAGGUGGCAAGCGUUAUCCGGAAUUAUUGGGCGUAAAGCGCGCGUAGGCGGUUUUUUAAGUCUGAUGUGAAAGCCCCCGGCUCAACCGGGGAGGGUCAUUGGAAACUGGUUGACUUGAGUGCAGAAGAGGAGAGUGGAAUUCCAUGUGUAGCGGUGAAAUGCGUAGAUAUAUGGAGGAACACCAGUGGCGAAGGCGACUCUCUGGUCUGUAACUGACGCUGAGGCUCGAAAGCGUGGGUAGCAAACAGG
rnacentral:rRNA from 1 species